rnacentral:tRNA from 1 species
GUGUCUGUAGCUCAGUUGGAUAGAGCAACGGCCUUCUAAGCCGUGGGUCGCAGGUUCGAAUCCUGUCAGGCACA